UUGUUUUGUUUACACUGGAAUUAUUUAAGUUUUCCUCAGAGAGGAAUAUUUUCAGUGAUGAAAUGACAGACAUGUGUUACACACAGUCAGAAAGCCUAUCCUAUCAGGCCCAGUAAUCCUCCUGCAACAUUCCUAGGAUUAGAUAACUGCCCAGCCCUUGGUUCAUUUACUGGCGCCCUCUAUAUUAGCACCAGCCCUGGAUGUCUGUCUAUGGUCUCCUCCACAGUAGGCUCAGACAGGACAGGAGCUGUAAUCAGAGAGAAAUCUUUGAUUUUGUUUAUUUUUUCCAUCAGAAAUCAAAAAAGAGAUGGAGCUACUGAGGCCUUCACUUCUUAUUGUCUUUAUCUCAACAGCAAUCGCAAAACCAUUCAACAGGCCUGGACACCAUAAUGGUCCACAGUUCAACAGGCCUGGACACCACAAUGUUCCACAGUUCAACAGGCCUGGACACCACAAUGUUCCACAGUUCAACAGGCCUGGACACCACAAUGUUCCACGAAUCCACGAGUCCUCAGAAUCUGAUGAAUCAAGAAUGACACCAGGACCAACUGCUCCAACCACAGUGAACCCUCCCACUCCUGCCAUGUCAACUAUCCCACCAGUGACAGAAAUGUCCACGAAUGGGCCAAUUGUCGGUGAAAUGACACCGUCACCAAGGAACGUUACUGCACGUGUCACUGAGGACAUUACAACUCCCACUCCAGCAACUCCCCCUUCACCAACUAGAUGAGACAACUAAUAAUGAGAAAAUCAUGAGAAUGCUUUAUUAUAAUUAUUCAAGAGUUUAUAAAUCAUUGCUUUUUUUAGGUCAUAAUUUUUUGUAUGGACUGUUUACAGUACCUGCAGUAUACCUUUCUUGUCAUUUUAUUUGUGUUUUUUAUGCAGCAGCAUUUAUAGGUAAUGUUAUCGAUAGCUUCAUAAUAACCCUAUCAGAAGCCCUGUAAUCUUUACUAGUUCAACAUAUGGUGGUAGUUACGGGUGUUUGGAUGUCUGUGAACUAGGUGAUCAUAAUCUGCUGGGUGUGAAUGUUUGAUUGAUUCAUUGAUAUUGCUGUGUUAUGCUCCAGUAUGUCUCUUUACACACAGUAUGUAGUGACUUGCUCUUUGGAGUUUUAGGCUGGUUAUCUGUAUAGUACAUUGAGACAACUGCUGAUUUACAAAGGACUUAAUAACAUACAUUUGAUUGAUUGAUUGAUAUUUGUUGUGAACUUGUGUCCUCAAUAAA